UUUUCAAAAAAAAAAAAACCCCGGCAUAUCAUUAACAUCAUUGGACUUUAGUUUCAUCAUCUGAAAUGUUCUGGUAAUCCCCUCUUGUGCCUCCAUUGAUGUGAGGAUUAAAUAAGAUAGUGCCAUAGAAGUGCUUUUUAGAAAUCCGUGAUCUCAGUACCCUUUGCCACCCAACUCGGAGCAAGAUAAGGCCCUGGCUUGGGAAACAGGCACUUGACACCAACAUCUCCUCCUUCUUCGGAGGGUUGUGAUUCAUCCUGAGAAUCAGUAGCUGACCUGACCCCCACCUCAGCUCUCAUAAGCACAUUGUAAUCACGUGAUCAUCGUUGUGCUGGGAACACCCAGGAGGAGAGGCGGGGAGAGCUUGAAUUGGAUCAGUGGGACUGUCACGCCAGGGUGAGGCGGAAGCCUGUGGAGGCUCCAAAGUUGAGGAGGUUGAGCAGAGUGCCCGAAUGCCUGGGCUGGUGUGCUGCAGACGGGGCUUUGGGCAGGGGGCAGCCCACCCUCUGCCUGGUCGCUAGUGCUACCGCUGAUCAUGUGUCUUUGCAGGAGAUGUGACGGUUCCGUCUCAGCUCCUUUUGGGCCCUGGCUUUUGUGUAAUCUCAUUGGAAAUGGAGCCACUGUCCAGGAGAGGACAAACAAAUCUCAGGAUGUACAUCCUGCAGAGACAGGAUAAUUAAUGAAUUAAAAUCCUCCAGAUUUAUUUAUUUUAAAGAACCAAGAUAUUGUUUGUACUUCUUCCUGUGAAACAUGCUCUGUGCCCUUAUUUUGAUCAUUUCCUUUGUCAAUUUACUUGGCCCAUUCCUCAGAGCGUGCUCCCUUGGAGGGGUGUUGCCUCUAUCAGAGGGGGUAGGAAUCAGAGUUGUGGAGUCGGGAAUCCUGUUUUCUGACUCUUGCUCUAAUCCACCUUUUCCACUUAUUACUAUCCCUUUAUGCAAUGAAAGACUCUCAAAUGGAGGCUUUGUCUGCCCCUAGGACAGCUGUGAGGGAGUCCCUGAGGGAGGGGUGUUGAUGGGAGCCAGGCGGGCUCUGCACCAGUUCCUUGUCUGAGACCACUUAUGGGAAGUCGUUUUGAUGUGAGGACAGACCAGUCCAGGGAGGAGCCCUCCACCUGCCAUUUUCUGUGCCCACAUUGUCACUGCCAGGGGUCUCCCAGCUUACAGAUAUGUUUGACAGACUGUGUGCCUGAUGGUCUUCCGCCCAGACUCCCAUGGCUGCAGCAGAUCUGUCCUCAGGAGAACUCUGGUCUGGCUCCAUCCUCUGCCUUCUGAAGGACCAUGCCUCCUGGUCAACGACUCCUCUAACCAGUCUCGUCUGUUGGAGUUCUUUAGAGCUCUGUCCUAGACCCUCUUCGUAUCCAAUACUCAUUCCUCAAGAAAUUGCAUCUACUCUCGGCCUUAGCGCCAUCUUCUUGGAAACCUCUGCGCCAUGAGAGCCAAGUGGAGGAAGAAGCGAAUGCGCAGGCUGAAGCGUAAAAGAAGAAAGAUGAGGCAGAGGUCCAAGUAAACCGCUAGCUUGUGCACCCAUGGAGCCACAGGAGCAGAAAUAAGGAAAGCCAGAGGCCAGGGACGCUGGUACCAAUUGUUGGACUGCAUGCCUACUUUCUAGAGCUUGAUUCAAGGGCUCUAGAUCAUCGCCAUCUGAUCGCAACGACCACCUUUGAAGAGACCUGCCUUGUUCAUACCAAAACAGUCCCUUUUGGUCCUUUGCCCUGGACCUGUGACUUUCGGGACUAAUUCUGUUUUCAUUUGUGGCUGGAUGUAACACGUGUACAAUAAAUCAUCUCUUUUGCUGUCUUAGCUGAAGAAAAAAAAA